GGUUCAAGUCCCUCUAUC
rnacentral:tRNA from 2 species